rnacentral:lncRNA from 1 species
CCUCCAUUGGAUGAAAGUAGAAUUGUUUUUAUCUAGGUGAAGUGCUGGGGCAGCCAGGUUGUACUGCCCCUAGCUCAAACAUACUCGCUUUUGUACUAUCGAUGUCGCCUUGUAACUUAGCACAUGCACCUGCCGGUCAGAAAAAUAUUCGCUAAUAUCAAGAACUGAAUACACAAACACUGGUUGAACCAACAAUUGAGUCAGUGAUGAAGUAGAUUACAAAAAGAAAAAAGAGGAUAACAUGUAUAGCAUUUUUGGAGCAUGUGUUUAAUGGUACAAACCUGUUCUUUUUAGAUUUAUUCAUGUCCUCCCCAGCUAGCCGAUAAACAUCUAAUGAACAUUCAAGACGGUUGUGGAUGGCCCUGGGUACACGAGAUGUGUAAUACCUAAAAAACAACAAUACAAAGUAUAUUGUAAAUUCCAUCAGAAUUUAAUUCCACCCAAGAAAAAUACAGCUCGUCGAGCUCGUGGCUUCCAUACUCAUGCGCUCUUGGUGGGGGGCAUGGCCGAUGAAGCGAGGGAACAAAGGGAACUGUGUACUCUAGAAAAAAACAUGCAUGGUCAGUAUAGAAACAACAAAUUGGUGAAGAUGGCACAGAAUAAUUUGGUCUUGAAUGUUGAUGAUAUGCAUUAUGUGAGAUAGAACAAUACAGCAGAAAAAUAAAGGUGGAUCAAUGUCAAACCAGGUUAACUGAUGUAGUAGUAGCACACAACAAAAUAUAUGGCUGCACAAAUUGGCAAGAGUUGUAGACAAAACUUCAAAACCAAUGGGCCUAGUGCUGAUAGUCCAGGACUCCAGGGAAGUCAAUGGUGCUAGUUUCAGACAUCACAUAUUCAUCUAUGACCAUUUGAUUAAUUUCACCAUAAAGCCAGUAAUGCUGACCACUAAAUAAUUUAAACCAACUUUACUAAAAAGGGACACACAAAUAGCAU